GGACAAGGGCGCUGCCGGGGCUGGCCCACUCACCUGCAAGACCAUGUCACCCUACAGAUCGGGAGGCCGGGCGAAGAUCUGCGGCUUCUUCAGGGCAGGCGGCAGGCAUGUCGGGGAGGGGACCGCGUCGCUGACCCACUUGCGGGUGACCCAGUUCCAGGUUAUAGCCUGGCCCCCUCAGGCUUGAGUGUGCCUGCGUUUUGCCCAGGCCGGAGCGAGCCUCUGAUGUUGCCCCGAUUUUUCCGAAUCUCCCCUCUCGACUUGAGAUGGCAUGGCAUCACGCACGGACUCUCAAACUAACUGCAGAUGUAGGACCGGGGGUGUUUGUGUUGGUUUGUUUGUUAAUUAAUUUCAAUCUGUCAUGGAUGGAUACUUUUGUCCAGUAUAAUAAAGAUGACUAGCUGGAAAAAUGAAAUAAAAAAGAAAUACAAGGGA